rnacentral:rRNA from 1 species
GAUGAACGCUGGCGGCGUGCCUAAUACAUGCAAGUCGAGCGAACGGACGAGAAGCUUGCUUCUCUGAUGUUAGCGGCGGACGGGUGAGUAACACGUGGAUAACCUACCUAUAAGACUGGGAUAACUUCGGGAAACCGUAGCUAAUACCGGAUAAUAUUUUGAACCGCAUGGUUCAAAAGUGAAAGACGGUCUUGCUGUCACUUAUAGAUGGAUCCGCGCUGCAUUAGCUAGUUGGUAAGGUAACGGCUUACCAAGGCAACGAUGCAUAGCCGACCUGAGAGGGUGAUCGGCCACACUGGAACUGAGACACGGUCCAGACUCCUACGGGAGGCAGCAGUAGGAAAUCUUCCGCAAUGGGCGAAAGCCUGACGGAGCAACGCCGCGUGAGUGAUGAAGGUCUUCGGAUCGUAAAACUCUGUUAUUAGUGAAGAACAUAUGUGUAAGUAACUGUGCACAUCUUGACGGUACCUAAUCAGAAAGCCACGGCUAACUACGUG